UACGAAGGGGGCUAGCGUUGCUCGGAAUUACUGGGCGUAAAGCGCACGUAGGCGGAUUGUUAAGUCAGGGGUGAAAUCCUGGAGCUCAACUCCAGAACUGCCUUUGAUACUGAGGAUCUUGAGUCCGGGAGAGGUGAGUGGAACUGCGAGUGUAGAGGUGAAAUUCGUAGAUAUUCGCAAGAACACCAGUGGCGAAGGCGGCUCACUGGCCCGGUACUGACGCUGAGGCACGAAAGCGUGGGGAGCAAACAGG
rnacentral:rRNA from 1 species